rnacentral:lncRNA from 1 species
GGUGUAGGCUGCAGACAUGGCUUAGAUCCUGCAUUGUUGUGGCUGUGGCCUAGGCCAGCAGUACAGCUCUGAUUCAAGCCCUAGACUGGGAAUCUCCAUAUGCCACAGAUGUGUCCCUAAAAAAAUAAACACAAAACAAAACAAAAAGAAAGAAAAAGAAAUAAGUAAAAGAGGAAGUGACAAGGGUAAUUCCAGGUUUGUGGCAUGUGUAUCACCAGGUAGAUAAAUGGGUCAAAUAUAAAUACAUUAGAAGUUGGAUAAAUGAGCUGAAAUAAGGUCUAACUUUGGGUUUCAGUGAAAUAUGGAUGCUAUUUAACAUGUGGAGGUGAUUUUCAAGGAAGGGAAUGUACGAUAACAAAAAGGAGGACGAGCAGUGAAACCCAGAGUAACAUUAGAAUUAGGGGUCAACUGUGAGAGUAGAUUAUGGGAAGACUGAACUAAGAGACAGGUGGGAAAAGACAAAAAAAAUGAAGCUAGAAAAGAGAGUGUUCUAAGAAAGCUGGCAGGGCCAGCUGUCCUAAAUUGUACCAGAUGAGAUCUGAGAAAAUCUGCUGGAUUCAGCACAAGGUGAUUACUGGUGACAUUAGAAGAAUUUUACAGAGUGCUGUAAAGAGAAGCAGAUUUUAGGGGGCAAAGAAUGCAAAGGAGUAGACAAAUGGAGGCAGCAACUACAGAAACAUGGUCUGAGAAUCUUGGCUCUGGAGAAGGUUAAAGAAUAAGGUAGUUGAAGAGGGUUCUGAAAUGAGAAAGCUUGAUUAGGAAGACAAAUGUAGAAUAUUUAAAAUAUUAUAUUAUUUGAUAUUUUUCUUUCAGCCACAAGCUUACUAUGCACCUACCCAUAACAAAUAAAGCAAUUCAACUAAAGGUUAAAAAAACCAAGUUAGUCAUCCCUCCUCUAUUUGUCCUCAGUCCUUACUUACACAUCCAGAUAUCCAGUCACUUUUACCAGGAUGGUGUGAACCUUUUCCUGAACUCAUAGAUAUGUACAAGCACCUGUGUAGAGAAGAUAUUAAAAUUCGUUUCAUUUUUACCUAAGUGGAAUCACACCACAUACAUGCAUUUCCAAUUUCUUUCAACAGUGUCAUCUCUACAAAUGAAUAAAUGAAACUCAUUUUCCCUAAUUUAUUUACACUGAUAUAUAUGUACAUAUAUAUUUACAUUUCAUUUUGUAAGUGGACUGUCAUAUCCCACAAAAAGAAGGGUUUUUUUUUUCAUUCUUUUAGUUAAUGCAUUUUUUUGUUGUUAUUGACUCUUUCUCCAGCCCCUGAUCCACCUGUCCACAAAGCUCUAAUUCAUAGCCUUUGUGGGUUUGUUAUAAUUGGGUACUUAUUAUUUUACACUCUUCUUCAUCCUCAAAUAACCUUUUCUAUCUUUUGUUUAUUAUGACAUAGUCAUCUCUUUUCUGUAAUAAAACAUAUAGGCAUUCAAAAAAUAAAGCAAAACAUAAAGACCUUAGUGACGUGUUUAUUUUUCCUUAAGAGAUGCCUAUCCUCGCAUUCACCCCCAGGUGACUAAAAACAGAAUUCAAAGAGAGAGCGAGAAAGAGAGAGAGAAGAGGCCAUAUGCCUUUAAUAAGCAAAUACGUAGAGUGAAAAAAUCAUAAUGCAAGAUAAUUUUCCUGGAAAUCUAUGUGAAAAUUUGAAAAAAAAAUGCUUUACAGUUGCUAAUUAAGCUUUCCCAUGCCAACCAGUUUAACUAAAGGAUGUAUAGUAACUUCACAGAGGGAUCAUUUCAUCCGACUCAAGUAUUCUCCCCUGGAGUAGAAUAAAAUAGCUCUGUGAUAACCAGACUAAUGCUGAACUGCAUCUUAAGAUGGAAAAUGAAUGGUUCUAUUAGGGCCAAAUGAAUUUGCCAAGGGAAUUUAUACAGAAUGUGUUUUAGAUUUAGAAUUUGCAUGGCAUGCUAGUUUUUAUUGCUAUUAAUAUGCUAUUAUGAGGCUGGAUGCUUGGCUUUUUAAAGUGCCUCCUGAUCAUAAAUUAGUCAACACAUAAAAUGCUUUUGAAGUAGCAUCCCAAUUUUCCAGUUGAAAUCUCUGCAUCCCAAGGUGAUUAAAUGACUCUCAUCAGGUGUUUCAAUUUUUGUACUUCAACCCCUCUGCAAUUUCUUCAUAAGAGCCCAUGCACUUUGCAGUGGCUCUUAUGAAGUUGUACUGUAUUCCAUGUCCUGAAUUUAAAAGGUGCUUGGCACCUGGGAUUGCAUUUACAUCUUAAGGUUACAUCUUAUCUUAGGUGAGAUAGUUAUGAUUUGCCUAUAAUUUGGAGGCAAAGGGACUAAAGUUUAGAUGAUUUGCAAAAAGAGCUCUAGCUGCAGACCUGGAGUUCUAAGCAUCAGUCUUUGGUUUAACAGCAUCAGGCACCUUUCUAUCAGGCCACACUGCAUCCUUCAGACCCACGCUUAUGACCUGGUUCAAGAACUUGGUUUGGUGCAUAUUGAUAGCGUUUAGGGUAUUCCUUGGUGGCCUAGCAGUAAAGGAUUAGGCACUUGUCACUGUGUGGGUUUGAUCCUUGGCCUGGGAACUUCUGUAUGCCAUGGGUGUGAUCCCCAAAAAAGUGUUUAUACAUUACCAAUGAUAACUCUUAAACAAAUUUGAAGUUAAGCACUGGGCAUACAUUUCUAUUUCACUAAAGUUCUGUGGAAUAUGGAUUAUUAUAAAUGAUUUACAAAAACAAAAAAUAAAUUGUGAUUGACCGGCAUGGUAGGGGGAAUACAGAAUGGUUGUAUCCACCUUUGUCUAGUUCUGAAACCCAGGUACUAAGUUAUUAUACUUUAUCAUUCCUAAUGUUGUUCUGCUGUCUAUUCUACACUUCCCCCCAUAAAGAAAAAAAAUUAGAAACCAUAUUUUAGUACUUACUGUGUCUGUCGACUUUGCUCUAAACAUUGGUACUUAUUUCUUAUCCUCAGUGUAUGUAAUCUGAAUAUUGUCUGCAGUUCUGCUAGUGGCUUUUCAUUCCAGUCCACAACAAGGAAGCAGGGUCUAUUGGUGGCGUGCUUUACUUAAGACAGAGAUUAGAUGCACGAGAGGACUAACUUGGCCAUACAAUCAAAUAUAAACUUUUUCAUGGAGGUAGCAUAUGACAUGACUGCUCAGACUACAUUGGCCUGAAAAAAGUCACAUGACUGGGCCAGAAGAGGGGCAGGGAGAUACAUUCCACCUAUCAGAAGGCAAGGCGAGUCACAUUUAACAGGAUGUGCAGGCAGGGUGAGGAAGUAGACAUCUAUGAACUAUGUAACCUAUCAUAUUUCCAAAGACACAGCGAAACCUCAGCAUUUCUGGCUGAAUUUCAAAACCUCUAUAAUCUCAACACAUCUUAUCAUCUCACUAUAGUUACCACCACUCUCUAAAAAAAAAAUCCAUCUGCUCAGUUUCCACUGCAUUGUUAUCUUCUGCUUAUUGUUCAUGCUGUUUCCUCCACCUGAGAUAUUUCCUUCCCUUUUCCCUGCUUCAAAUACAUGUCGUCUAAUCUUUCUUAACAUCCUGUCCAGUUACAUUGUAACAUGUGACUGCACUUUGGUAACUGAAUAUGGGAGAAGGGGAUGUUUUCCACUUCCAAGCCAGAACAAAAAAUACCCUGUAUGAUCCCAUGUUAAAAUUGCAGUGUCACAAAGUGGCAGCAACCUAGAUCCCUGAGUACCACUUUGAUGAAUGCAGCGAGGGAGAGUAGCCUGACCCUAAAAAAGAAAGGUACUGCACCAUACACACACACACUAAGGCAGAGCUAAGGGAGAAGAAAAUAUAUAAAACCCUAAAAGUAACUGAUUAAACCUGAAGAACACAAAAAAGAAAAGAACAAAGAGAAGAGGAAACAAGUAUAAAAAAGAAUAAAAUCCAAAGAUUAUAAUAAUUAUAUUGAUAUAUGACAAAGAUUUUCAUGCUAGAUAGAAAAAUUUAUGACCCAACUAUAUGCAGUUUACAUAGGAGGUAUGUUAACUAUAUAGAUAUACAUAUACAGAGCUGCAUUAUAUGAGAGCAAGUAAACUUGGAUAUAAAUACUGUUACCUGAGAUAGAGGGUUUUUUAUGAUGCUGAAUGUCAUUAUAUCAACUUGCAACUUCUAUGUAACUGCAUAAUAUUAAAUGUCAACUCAUCAGACCAUAAUAAUCCUGAAUAUAUGUGCACCUAUAGCAGAACUGUUUCUACAUAAAUCAAAAAUUGAUGGAACCAGAGGGAGAAAUGAAUAUAAUGAGUUGGGAAUAUUAACAUUGUUCUCAAGUGAUGAUAGAACGAAAGGAUAAGUUUAUUGUUAAAGCCCCAGGCACUUAGUUUCAUUCCAAAGUGCAGGGAGGGAGAAGGGAGAUGAGGAAUCUGCAUUUCCUACGAGGUGGACACAUCACUGCCACUUACAUUCAGCUGGCCAGUGUUUAGUCACAUGGGCACAUCCAGCCACAGGAGAGUCUUGUUCUUUAUGCUAGAUGGUCAGCUUACAGGUAUGAUAUAGACAUAGAUAGAGAUGUAGAUGGAAAUAUGUGUGUAUGCACAAAUGGGAGUGUGUAUGUAUAGGUAUGGAUUCUAUGUAUAAUGGAAUAGAAUCCAUAUGUCUACACAGAAAAGAAGGCAGAUCAAGUACCUGUUACCUGUUAAUUGUCUCUACUACAGGAGUGAUCAAAGAAUCAUGUAGUUUGUAUUUGAAAAAAAAAUGUAUCUGUGCUCAAUUACAAAACACAAAAUAUUACAUUUAAAUGACUAGAAUCAAGGUAAGUUUGACUUCUAGGUAAAGAUAACAUGCAAAUUCCCGAACAAAAAGAGCAUUUUAGUCCUUUUCAUUAACAAAAAUAGUUUCAGAGUUCCUACUGUGGCUCAGUGGGUUAAGAACCUGAUUUGUAUCUGUGAGGAUGCGAGUUUGAUUCCUGGCCUUGCUCAGUGUUACAAGCUGUGGUGUAGGUCAAAGAUAAGGCUGGGAUCCCACGUUGUUAUGGUUGUGUUACAGGCCGGAAGCUGCAGCUCUGAUUUGACCCCUAGCCUGGAACUUCCA